rnacentral:rRNA from 1 species
UGCGUAGGCGGUUUGUUAAGUCUGUUGUGAAAUCCCCGGGCUCAACCUGGGAAUGGCAAUGGAUACUGGCAAGCUAGAGUGUGUCAGAGGAUGGUGGAAUUCCCGGUGUAGCGGUGAAAUGCGUAGAGAUCGGGAGGAACAUCAGUGGCGAAGGCGGGCCAUCUGGGACAACACUGACGCUGAAGCACGAAAGCGUGGGGGAGCAAACA